GAGACCUCCAACCCCCGUCCCACAGGCAGUGGCAGCCAUCCAAGUCCCCGUGUGGCGUGGACCCGUGCUUACCAGAGUGCCAAAAACAAGAUGUCCGCCCUGUAAAGUCUCCUGCCACACCUACUGACCACUUCAAUUGUAUUAUACCAUGCCCAUAUAAUAUACAGUACGGUUCUGGAGCACACCCCCCCCCCCCCCACACCCCACCCCACCGCCAGCCACCUCUUCCGCUUCGUCUCUACCUGAUGUAUCGUGAUGUAUUCCUUAGACAAGGGAGAGAGGCUAACUCAGGGGACUGGACCUCGAGGUGUGUCUCAGUGGCGGUCGUGUUGAGGGAUUUGGAGUGGACACUUUCUCGACUGCGGUAGCCAACUUGGCACUUAGGAGCUUCCCAGAGAGGCCCCUCAGAGCUGCCUUGAGCGUGUGACCAGGAGCGAAUUUCUAUUUUUAAUUAAAAUGUUCCUUUUAGUCCAUGUGUUUGUGUCAUACUGACAGCCAUUGCGUUUCUUUUUGCAUGGUUUUAUUUUGCACAUCGCACACAUGCCUGUUUACACAGACAUAAUGGCCUUUUUUAGCCUACGUAUAUUCCCAUUGAAUAAAGAAUGUUAUAUUAUGCCUUAAAGAGGACAGUCAGGGUUUGAGGAGGUUUGCAUGUUUCUGUGUGCUGUAUAAGAGGAGCAUUUUGGAGUUGCUUGUCUCCUGUGUCCCAGCAUGCUCUCUGCUUCAAAAUAUACAAAAACUGGUUCUUGGUUCACAAUUAUGUUGUUAUAUGCUUCACACACUAUCCUCUUCAACAUUAGUCCCUACACAUUAAGAAAGAUCAAUUUUGGUUCUCGGUAAUUCGCUCCUGGUUGCUCACCACCAACACACCCAAACUCCCUCCUCUCCUGAACUCUGCAGUUGUUGGAGUCAAAUGGUCUGUUGGGAGAAACAGGUCUGUGCUCAAUGAUAGAAUGUUUUAGCCAGGGAGACAUGCCUUUUUUUUUUGUCAUCUGGAACAGGCUUUCUGUCCCAGGGUGCCUGUGUUCCUGGACCGGAGACUGAACUGUGACUAAAACUGGAACUGCUUUUCUGGAUCUGUAAUUCAGUUCUGCAGUAUGGCCAAUCAGACACAGGAACAAGUUGGGCGGCAGCUAGCCUAUUGGUUGGAGUAUUGAGCCAGAAUCCAAAAGGUAGCCGGUUCGAAUCCUGAAACUGACAAGGAGGCACUUAACCCCAAUCACUCAUGUAAACGGCUCUGGAUUACAGCGUCUGUUGAAUGACAAACAUUUAAACAUUGGGCUUGCAUUGUCCAGGCGCCACAACAGUCAGCCGACACACCUGACUGGGUUCGCCGUGCGAAUCGUCUCAAAUUCCACCGACUUAUGGUUUUCUAUAGAAGUGUGAUUUUGUUGUGAUUUUGAAACUGGACUUUUCAUUGUUGGAUAAGGGGGGGUUCUGUCACUCGAGCCAGAAAUGCAUGGAGUUGCCAUAGUAAAGCAAACUCUCUGUCAGGUGGAUCGACAUCAUCUCAUAGGGAGGUUCUAUUAACUCCUACCAUACACAACAGUACUCAUUCAAGCAAUAAUCUGUGAUCUCUGGGCUCCAGACUCUAGUAGGAAAGGCUCCAUAUUGCUUCAGGAAUGGCAGCUAAACCUGAGAAUGGCCUUUGUUUGUUGGCUUGGCUGUCUUUAUAAAGCAAAAGGGCAAAAUCAUCUUCCCCUCGGAUCCUAUUGGAGACUCACUGUGUAAUUUCUCCGUGCCGUGACUAGGGAGUUAGGUACUGAAUGGGGUAGCUCCUGGUGGCGAUGGGGUUCGUAUCACUUCGCCACCGGCUUGUCCACUGGCUAGCUCUCUUGGAGGUGUCGCCAGUCAGAUCGGCUAUUUUUAAACAAAGACAUAGGAGGAAUUUAGACUUGAUUGUGGUCUGUCAGUGUCAUCUAGCCUUACCGGUGUCAUACCAGCCAGCCCACUGUUUAGCUCUCAUAUUUAUUAGUUAUUUACUACAAAAUGUGUAUACCUAUAUUUAAUAUUUUGCUGUUUGGUUGUGAGGACCUAGCAUUCUCUGUCCUUGAUUAUGGGAAAUGGAAGAAGUCAUCACACACAGAGAACACCCAAUGAAUCAUCUCUUAACCUCGAAAUCACCCCCAUGUGUUCUUUAAUCCGUUCAGAAAUGGUAGGUGCAAGCCUCCUGCCAGUUCCGCAAGACUAUCUACAUUCUGAGUAGUUACUCGCUGGCUUUCUUUCUAAAAGAAGUAUUUCCACUUCCUGUCAGUAACGACUGCUCCUUACCUAAACAUACUGGUGCCUUGAGAGAGUGGGAUAUAUUGACAAUAGUACAUUAUAUUGGUUUGUCUGCUGGUUAUUGUGAGUAAAUAUAUAUGUUAUUUUUACAUUUUUAAAGUAUUUUCUGUAGAAGACUUGUGGGCUUCAAUUGAAGAAAAGUGCAAGACCCUGGAAAAAUAUUUUGAAUUGAAUAGUUUUUUGGUUUGGUUUUAGAAAAGAAAAUCUUUAAAGGACCCAAUACAGAAUGUUUACUGCCCAACAUGAUCUGCCCUUUCAAAUUUGCCUGUCAGAAGUAUUCUGGUCUGGAAUCAUAAAGCAUUAGUGGUGCCCCUCACAUGGUAUGUGUUUAGUCCAAGCACGCACACACACAAUGCUUGAUGCUAUUCAGAAUGCCGGCUCUGAUGUGCCAAGGGACACGUGAUGACUUGGCCUCUUCAGAAGGCCUCUGUUGUCGACCAGUGCUACUCUGUAACCAGGAUGGCAACUGCCACCCAGCCGCUCGUUCCAAAUUCAUGUUUCCGACCUCAUCGCAUCUUUCCUGCGUUAUUUCUCAGAACGUCAGAGUGGUCCCUUUGUCCCCCCCUCUCCUUUAAGAAUGCCUUGAUUCUUAAGCACCGUGAUUCUUAAGCACCGUGAUUCUUAAGCACAGUGAUAUGCAUUGCUAGUUCCCAAGAGCAGUUUUACAGGCUGCCAAUGUUUGCCGGCAAACGCUGAUUUACCACCCCUUGGAUAGCUGAAAUGUCAAAUGUCAAGGCUGGAGCUAAUCGUGUCUUUCCCUCAGACUUUGGGGGGGCAUAAAUAUUCUGGCGAUUUGGGCGGCAGCCGGCACUAUCCCCAAAACGGAGGCCGUAAAACAGUGUCUGGUUGAACUAGGCCGCCUCAACGUGUGUGCCAAAAUCCACGCACUAGUGGUGGUCAUCCAGGGGCAAUGAUGUUUGACGCUUUCAUAAAAGCAUCUGAGCAGACACUCGUUGUGGUAGUCGGUUGUCAGCUGGUAAAGUUACAGCCCCGUCAAUGUUCGGAGUUUAAAGGUCGAAGUUAAGCCAGGCUCCGUUCUGCCCACAGACCAUCACCAUAUAUCAUUGAACACUAGAGGCCUAGCCAGAACCCCCCCCCCUCCCCCCCCGGGGGGUCCCGGGGUGACAGCAACUGUCGGAAGCCAUAGCUCCGAGGGUCGUCGUGGAGACAGGCUUCAAAGAAAGGGGCUUUUUAAAGGGGAACUCCAUCCCCCACAAAUCUUCUUCUUACCCACAGGGCUCCUAUGUACACUAACACUGUAAUGUGAUGUCACCCGUAUGGUCUUCGGUUCUUGGCCCGGCCCAUUUGUCCAGGGGUCCGCCGGAAGGAAUUCACCUGAUUUGCCGUGUGACACAGGGAUACGCCUUUUGCACCCCCUGUUGUCGGGUUUUCACAUAUUCAACCCCCUAACCCCCAGUUGAAGGAGUUUAGAGGGUUAAAGAGCCAAUAGAAUGUCCCUCUUUGGUAUAAUGGGUUUCACAGAUCAUUACAUUAAGGAAAGGAUGGCUACUAUAUGGAGAUUCAGAUUAGGCAUGAUAGAUACAGCUGAAGGUUGGAGAGAGACAAGUUCAUCGGUGGAAGAAGCUCUGCCAUUAUAAGAUCAGGUCUAAACAAUUAUCGCAUACAUUGGGGUGUAUUAACAUCCAGUGUUUGCGAGGCGUUGUUGUUUUUCCGCCCUCACAAAGAAGCAGAGGGAGUACAGCAGAGCCAGAAAGAGGACCGGAGUGGUGUCACUUUGUAAGGCGAGUGUUCAUGGUGUCACUGGACGUCAGAAACUGCAAUCUGCACUUAACCAGCACUUAAGGCCCAACAUAUGUAAACCCCCUUCUUGUCAAUAGUUGCUUUUGCGUUUGUCAGUGAUUAUUUUUCUUCCCUGAAUGGAUGGUAAUCAAAGGUGUGUGUGUGUCUGUCUGUGUUUGUGUGUGUAAAAAUUUUUUUUUUGUGGCCUGUCACGUUUCUUGUACAGAUUAUCAUAGUGAUUUGCUUUCCUAUAAUUGUGUUCUAUAAUUUUGUGAGGCUUGGCACUCGAUCAUAUCUGUGUCUCUCCAUUCUAUCAUUGUGCCAAAUCAUUCCACAGUAUUUCCAGUUUACAGCCAUUAGACCGUUAGACAGCACAAGUGUUUACCAGGAUGGAGAACUGUCUCUUUAAGUAUGAGUACUGAAAUAUAGGGAACAUUUCAAUUUGAGGGUUUUUUUUUUUUUGUUAGUUUUGUAAUACUAAAUAUCUUAUUUUGGAUAGAUAUUAUUUAAGAGAAUCGUGUAAUUUUGUAAAGUGGGCCUUAUUGAAAUAUUUAGUGUUUGUCCUCUGAGUUUUUUUGGCCGAAUAUGCAUCUUUCUCAUUAAUGCACUCCUGGAGAGUACUGUUUUGUUGUUUUAAUGCGAGGGAUGUCUCAGAGACCUUGAGCUAUGACGUGAGAUGGCGUGCUUACGGAUACAUGACAGGUAGCCAGCCUUGGGUCCUAGUUUAGAAAUGAUCUGAGUGGUGUCGCCAUCUUAAGUCAGUCGCCAUGUGGCUUCAUUUUGUAUUAGCCGGGCGGGAAUCCUUUUUUUUUGGGUCCUCUUCAACUCCGUAGUCCCUCGCGUAAAUUCAGGGUUUGUUCAUCUUGAAUGCUGUAUGCAAGUGCUGCCAAAGACAGAUACUAUGGUGUUGACCGGCACGCUUACACACGAACAUUAACAAACACACAUACUUUAUAAACACACACCUACUCAUACCUUGAUGUACAGACACACGUAGAGGAGUUACUGACUGUACAAUCAGCCAAGGGAGUUGGAAGUCAAGUUGUUUUAUAUUGUGGUGUGUUCAGACCUGCAUAGAAAUGUCUGCUCAACAGGGUAGGCGGAGCUGACAGUUGUAACAGAGAGAAAUGUGUAAGUUAUGAAAUCAAAAGGGUUAUUACGGGCUGUUCCCAGCUUCCCUCUGUGUCAGUGACACACUGCUAAUUGUGCAGGAUGCUUUUUCUGUCCUAGUCGCAUCCAUUCGUGCAUGUUUAACCUUACUGCGCUCUUCAUGUAGGUCUCUUGGAGCUGCCAACUGUACAGCGGACUAUGUAUUCCAAUAAAAUGAAAAAGCUACUUGUUUGUAACAGUGUUUUUUUUUUUUACUAAACUUUUUUUCACGGUUUUCCUGUUUCUUUGUCUUCUUUCCUAACAGCGGCACACCUCUGCGUGUGUGCACGGUGAUAUGAAAGCAACACUUCCAUUGCUUUUGUAUCACCUUGCAAUUGACGCUUGGCUAGAAAGGCUUUUGACGCCGUACAAGAUAAGCAAAAUAGCAGACAAAUUGGCCAGUUGCGUCAGGCAAGUGGCGGAAACCGCAGGGCCCUGCGGAAUUCCCCGUCAGCACACCUUUCUCUUAAACUGCACAGCCAGGCAGCGAGGAGCGCUCCGGGAAUGUUCCCCCGACGGUAUUAACAGACGGCGAGUCUGCUCACUGGGUUAUUGAGUUCUUCGGGCACUUGGGUUUUUAACAGACGUUCAGACCGAUGACUUGGCCUGGAUCACACUCAAAUGACUGCAUUUUACACUGGUCAUGAUUGAAUACAUUAUCUUCGGGUUUGUCCGAAUGGUUGUGGACAGAGGCGUUGCUAUGGUCACAAUACAUUCGGGCCUUAGCCCCCCCCCCCCCCCGGGAAAGACAGCACAGGGUUUUGAAUGUACACAAGGAACAUUUCUAUGUGCACGCUAGCGGCCUACACGUCUACAUUGUCAUAAGGUGCGAUUGGAUUUAUAGAUGAUUAGAUCAGGGGCUCUUUCUUUUAUUUUUGAUCAAUUUCAGGACCCCCAGGCCUAACGACGCCACUGGUUGUGGAGACUCUUAUAUACAGUGGAUAUAAAAAGUCUACACAGCCCUGUUAAAAUGCCUGGUUCUUGUGAUGUAAAAGAAUGAGACAAAGAUAAAUCAUGUCAGAACUUUUUCCACUUUUAAUGUGACCUAUAAUGUGAACAAUUCAAUUGAAAGACAAACGGAAAUCUUCGAGAGGGAAAAUGAAAAAUAAAAACCUUACAAUAACCUGGGUGCAUUGGUUUUUUAGGGGUUACAUCAGAGUUGUCGGACCGUCAGUAAAUCAGGGGGGGUCUGGGACAGCAAGGUGUGCCGUUGGGGGCACUUCAGGACUGGAGUUGGGAGUGACGGUCCCAGGCAAAACGUCAUCGAUGUGACUUCAUACAAAGAAAAAUAACUCUUUCAACCACCCCAAACUUAAAUCCUGAGGGAGGCCACGCAGUACUUUUCCGAAUGAUUUUCCAUAAUGAUUAAUGGCGUGUAAGUGGUUCAAGGAGCAUUGAGCUUACUUUGCUUUUGCGACCUGUUAGGGCCUGCGUUUUGCAGUGAUGCGCACAUCUCUGUCAAUGUAGUUAAAGAUAACGACAUAGCUGACUUGGUUCUGGGACGUGUGAAGGGAGUCCUGACUCUGUGGACCAUUAAGAUCCCACGGGGUGUUAUCCCAU
ensembl:lncRNA